CUGUUGUUACCACUUCAAGCAUUUGGGGUUUGUUUUCUUCUCUUUGAACGGAAGCAACCAAGAACAGGAACCACUGUCAGGAAGACGAAAUAACUGAAGGGCCAAAUGGACAAUCACAACGGCUACUGCCAGCCUCGGUGAAGUUUCUUGGCAGGGCCCUGUGGCCCCACGCAUGUGUUCAUACACAGAGGACAGACCCAGGGAGGGACCACGUGUGUGUAUGCAGGAACAUAUAGCGGAGGUGGCGAGCCCUGUGUUUCCCUCUUGCAUCUACCACUUUGUGAGCGGUGAAGCCUCAGUUUCCUCCGUUUCGGGUUGAGAAUAGAAUCUCCUCUCUUCCUCCAUUUCUCCACCUAUCUGAAUACUAUGCAAAGAGAUCAAGGCCCAUCGCCUCCAUGAGAAUGGGUUUUUUUCAUUCUGUUUUCUGCGCUGCCGUAGUCCCAGCACCCAGGAGACAUUGCAGGCUCUACUCAACAUUUGCAGAAUGAAUGAAUGCAUUCAUUACUUCACUCCCUUGGUUUUCCAUCACUCCUUCCUUCUGUGUGGGGGAGUGGCACCUCCUCAUCCUCCCACCCCAUUCUGUGCCCACGUCCAGGAUUCCCCAGCCCUGAGUGGACAUCAAGGUGGGCUGUGGCAUCUAGUUCACUGUGCACCCCAAGGCCCAGCCCCAGAACCCUCACUCAGGCCUCUUACCCCACACCCCAAGGCCAAGGAGCCUGGCAAUCAAUCCCAAAGCCCCCUCGGCAGCUCAGCUCUCCCAGAUGAACCCAGAAUCCUAAGAUGUGGAGGAACAAACAUUCUGGAUGAAGACCCUGGAGAUGCGAAGGUAAGAUGGUAGCAUGUUCAUGAAGCUCAACCAGUCCUAGAAACCAAAUUUUGUCCCUAUCAUCUAUAGUCUAUAGAAGGAGGACUGCAUAUUUUUUCAGGAAGAGCAUUGGGUUUGGAGAUGGGGACCUCAGUUUGAGAUCUCUUUCUCUUGAUAACUUUGUGACAUGGGGCAUGUCUUGCAAAAGACCACCAAGAUGGCUGAUUAGUCUGAGGGAGAGCUUUCUGGGUG